UCCCCUCUCCUCUCUCCUCUCCUCUCCUCUCUUCUCCUCCUCUCCUCUCCUCUCCUCUCUCCUCUCCUCUCCCAGCCGUUGUGUUAGAGGGUGUGUAGAGGAGUCCAAUGUGUUCAGGGUGCCUGCUCAUUCUGUGAGUGUCGGUGCCGUACAGUGAUGAUUGAUUCCUGAAAACUCCCCUGCCUUCGCCCUAAUACCCCCAUACACCUCCUCUCCCCCUCUGACCCCCACUCACCUUCUCCCCGACACCCCCUUCUCCCAAUACCCCCCAACCCCCCCCCCCCCCUAAUCAAGACACACCCCCCUCCUGAAGCCCUGAUGUCCCCCAUGCAUCCUGAAUGUCACCAGAUGAACCCCUCCCCCAACUCUAAUGACAUCAUAUAACCCCACCCCAGCUCCGCCUCCCAACUCUAAUGACACAAUAUAAGCCCCGCCUCCAAGUCUAAAUGCCACCAGAUAAGCUCCGCCCCCAGUCCUAAUGUCACGUUCUACACCAGCUGCCCACCAGUGCGUGAGUGACCAAACACACAGCAACCAAAACAAACACACACCACGUCAGAUAUGCAACUCAACAACAACAAGCCACUUCAGGAAGUACAGCAGUGUUUCAGAGCCAAUCAGAGCAGGCAGAGGUCUAUAUGGGCGGGGGCUGGUGUAGAGGUCUCGCUGUGAUUGGGCAAGACCAGCUCUGGUUGGAGGAGGUUACAAUGGUUACCGUUGAGCACCAGUUAGCCUGUUCAUCUUGCUUCUGCUGGAGGAUGGUUGUUGACAUGGGGGCUGAGACAGCUUCCUAAUAUCUGUGUUUUUGCAUGCUUGGUAUUGUCCAGUAAGCUAUUUGUUUGUAUUUAGAACUGAGAUGAGAUGUUGAAUGUGUAAUUGGUGCACUCCAGCCGCGCUGUUUCCAGCACGAACAGACUUUGAGUCAGAGCGAAUUGUAAAGCGACUAAAAUGCACCUUCAGCAGUCACAUACAUUCCUAAGGGCAGCUUUAGCCAGCGAGCGAGCAUAGAGAGAGAGCGAGAAACGCUAAUGUGCUAACGGCCACAGCUAAGCUGCUUGUUCCCGCCACUGCCGAGCCUGGGGAACAACACGUGUGUGCCAGGCUACCUGGGAAGGCCUAUGCUAUGCCAGGUGUUGGCUUCAGUAGGCUAGCGAAGGCUCAACAAGGCAUUGCAAUGGAGGGGUUAGCUGUUAGCUGUUAGCUUCCGAAGAUAGCUAUGCUGUGGGCUAGCUGUGAGCAAGGCUCUGCUAGCUAGCUAGCUACCUAGCCUAGCCUAGCCCCCAGGCAGUGACCCUGUUGCCCCCUUACACACACACACACACACACACACACACACACACACACACACACACACACACACACACACACACACACACACACACACGUGUGCUAGCCAACGCCUCUGUCCCCCUCACACGUGUGUGUUUGAGCUGCCUCUUCCUUUACCACUGUGCUUCAAACAAACGUCUCCUUGACAACGACUUCAGAAUCAACAAACACUUUUUGCUAUCCGAAAACAAUAGAAACAGACGAAAAUAAUAGUUAUCCAGAAACAUAUUCUGCUAUCCAGAUGGAAACAAUAGUGCACAGGCUAAACUCCCACAACAAUAAAAACAGACGGAAACAAACAAAAAAAACAUCUUUAAAAAAAUGAUAAGAAAAGCAGACAACCAGACAGAAAUAGUACAAUACAAUAUCCAUAAAUCAUACAUGAAUCGUGGCGUACAGGACAAAUGCUAGUGUUUUUUUCUCUUUUUUUUCCACUUUUUAAUUUGCACAUGUUCACUUCCUAAAUGUCGCCUGUGCUUUAGUUUGAUAAAUGAGAAAAAAAACACAGAAAUGUGUUCUAUUGUUUUUUUUAAAUGUUGUUCAAUUGUUUUUUCUGCAUUGUACCAUUUACUUUGUCUGUAUGAGACUGAAACAGUGAUUUUGUAAUUUUUUUGUUUGUUUCAAGAACUGUUGUCUGUUGUGGUUUAUGGAAUAUUGUCUUUGAAUGAAUAGAAAUUUAAAAAAGGCAGAACUGUGGCAUGAAAGAGUCUGCGUGCGUGUAUGUGUGUGUGUGUGAGUGUGCGUCACCUUUCCCCCUGUCGGCCACAGGGGGUGCUGUUGCAUAUUUUUGCGGAAAAAAAUGUUGCAUCUACAUUGCACUGUUUUUUCGAGAAAAAAAUGAAUACCCCACAAAAGUGCACUAUUUACUGUUUUAUUGAUAAUUGUGAUCUUCUUAAUAAUCAUCACAGUUCGUUUUAUGAUGCUGUUACACCGAGAUACUAGAUUAUAGUUUUUAGAGAUGAAUAAUGGCAAAUAUAUAUUUUUUAUUUGUUUGUUAUUUUGGGGGAUGUGAAUUAGGAUGGGUGGAGAGGGGUAUUUUGAAAGAGUGUUGUUUGAACCUUUUGUUUGUUUCAUUACUUGUACUAUUUUGAAGCUUUUUAGUUUUUUUGAAAGCUUGUUUUUGCUUUCUUUUGUUUGUCUGAGUAUCCCGCUAGCAUUGCUAUACUGUGUUUCAGUCCUCCCUCUUAUCUUCCUUGUGUGUGUGUGUAUGUGUGUGUGUGUGUGUGUGUGUGUGUGUGUGUGUGUGUGUGUGUGUGUGUGUGUGUGUGUGUGUGUGUGUCUUCCUCCUUCCUUUUGAACAGUAGCUCAUUUUGACGCCUUCAUUUUAUCACCAUCAGUUAGUUAUGACAACAAAAUAAAACAAUAGCUCCAUUUUGAACAGUCUUCAGUUACAAAACAUUCUAAAUGUCUUUCGUAAACGUCCCUUGCUGUAAAUGAUCCUUCGGGGCUGCUAACGGAGCCUUCCUAUUGGCUCUAGUUACCCACUCUAGAUAGAUAAAGGCUCCUUAUUGGCCGACCUGGGUGUGGAGGCGGGGCUGCUAAUGGAUGUCCUUGAGCGUGUUUGAAACCCAAAGCUAUCGACGGUUCUUCCAAACAAGAGGCGCACCACCACCACCUAGAGGCCUCCAAGAGAAGUGUUUAUACUGUAUGCCCUGCACAUAACCACAAGCCAGUACGUGCAUACAUCAUGGUGGAUUUGUAUUCUACGCAAGUGUUUGUGUGCACAUUGAAAGUACAGUUUUAGACUCAGCUCAUUUCAGUUAGCACUACACCCUCUGCCACACAGGUGCACAUUGCUAACUAUAGUGUUGGAGCUGUGCUAUGAAAGAGCGACGGAGGGCUACGGCACUCUUGAUCAGAGGAUACUUGUGCCUCCUUUGGUUAGCACUGGCAGUAUGCCAGUCUAUGCAGUCCAGGGCGUGUAUCGGAACUGCAAGAUGUUUAAUACCCAGUUUGUCAAAAGCUUUGCAUUUAGCAACUUAGCUGGUUACAAAUGACACUGCAACAAGCUAAGUUGCUAUGCUGGUGCCACUGCUGUGUUAGCUAGGAUGUGCUACGCGACUGCGUGUCACGUGUGGAAGAUGCCAUAGAUGUUCUGGACGGUGAUUAAAGUUGUCUUGUGACGCCACAGAGAUGGCCGAUGUACAACUUGGCUGUGUCAUGUUUCUGUACUUGCGUUUUUUUGGGCCUUUGAGGUGCUAACUGAUUAGCCUGACGAUGCUGAUCUCUGCAUCUGAUGACGAUCUAUACGCAUCAGGUGCCAGAUUAGCUGCUUAGCUUUGUCACAUGAUGUCACUAUCAGCUGGUUAGCUGUGACGUAUGACUCCAUUGCCAUGUUCACUGACUAGACCUUUGGCUUCUUAGCAGACCUGUACAAUGCCAACAUUUUGUCACGGUACAGAAAGAGGGAACAAGGUCACACCAUCAGCAUCUUAUGGUUAGUCUCUGGCUUAGACAAGCUCAGAUCAAAUGGGGUUUGAUUGUUUUGUAUGGAAGCUCAUUUGGCCCAAAAAAGUUUGUAAACUAGUGGAAAGAACUUCUAAUAACCAGCUUAACAUAACAUAUUCAGUACCAUGCAAAGUUGAUGACUUAGUUGCCGUACAGUAUUCCAAAGUGUCUCCUGAUUAAAAAUAAAACAGCAUAUAGCGUCCAUCUGCUAGCUCACCACUCUACUGAAAGUUUGUCACCACCCCUGCACAGUUUGCACUGAGAUGCUAGCUGGUCAUCCUUGAAUCACACAAAUUCGAUUGCCAAAGUAAGAGGGUGGGGUGACCACAUAGAGAAAGCACUAGAUCAGAAGUUGAAUAUUUCUCGAUUUGUUGAGCGUGGCAUUCGUGGCAUUCGUGGCAUUCAGCACGACGUUAAUAGAGACGACAUUCAGUGCAGCAGCCCAGUACAAAGUGAAAACAACACAGCGUAGCAGACGGACGCAUUAGCAUCAACAUUCAAGUACAGCUCGGCUUCUACUGAUGCGGCGGCCAAUGACAUUAGCCACCACGACCCAUACCAACCAAUUGGAGAGGGGUAUAAGCCGGCAUAGCCUAGACCAGCCAAUCGCAGAGCUCGGUUGAACAGCAUGGCUAAGCCUAGCCAAUCGCAGAGCUCGAUUGAACACCAGCAUUCCUCCUCAGACCGGGACGGUGCUGAUGGAAGGCUAGUCAUUCACUGUGCAUGUAUAUAAUAUAUUAUAUUCACACACAUCUCUCUCUUUCACACACAAACACACACACACUUGCCUUAAUUCUAAUUCCAAGAAAUGCACUACUUAAAGAUGUGCUGUCUGAUUAGUUUAAUCAAAUGAUAGAACCGGACGUUUUAUGAAAUAAUUUUGUCUUCUGCAGCUUAGCAGCGUGUGUUGUAAGAGCAUAUUGAAGAUGGUGGCACCGCCUCUUGCAAAAGAGAGCGGCGGGCCUCGACUGAAGUGGGAGGGGUUAUAAAUGAGGGAGGAGCCUGCGUGUUCAGUCAUUUUUAGCUUCUCACCCUUUUCAGUCGUGAGAAACAAGUAGGCGAAGAUGUAUCCAAUUUUUGUUUACCAUCGACUCCGUCACAUCAGUUCUGUGUGUUGGCUUGUCAGCUUGUCGUCGUUGAUUGUAUCAGGAUGUACGACAGCCUCAUCAAUAGCAUUUGACAUCUUAGCUUAGCUAGCCGCCAUGCUAGCCGCCCUAAAUACCAAUGCAGUCAACACGUCCACACACAGCAGUGGCGUCCACCAGUAUUUUGAUGUUGAUGAAUGCUUGCGUGUGUGUGUGUGGUGUGUGUGUGUGUGAUGUUGAUAAACGCGUGUGAUAGUGUGUAUAAGGUGCAGUGUGUGUGUGUGUAUACAAUACAAUCCUCUUUCUGUAGAAAUACUUCCUUUCCACAAGUGGACAUGUCGUAUCGCAACAAGCUCUUUUCUGUCUGCAUCUGUGUUGAGGAGAAUAAGGCAUCCUGUCUGUGUGUGUGUGUGUGUGCGUGCGUGCGUGCGUGUAUGUGUGUGUGUGUGUGUUGGGUGUGUCGAAUGUGUUUAGGUUAGCGGUGGGCUAAGGCCUAGCUUUAGCAUCAGUACCGGCCCUCUCUCCUCCAGUUGCUCCUGUAGCAUGCUAGUUCCUCACUGCAGAAGUCUUCGCGCUCUUAGAUAUGUGUCAGUUUGAAAAGAAAAUAAUGAACAGUGUAUGCAUUUGUGUACUCGCAGUAUGCCGUUACAAUUCUCAUCAUACAUUCGUACUUCUUCUUCUUCUUCUGUUUCCUGUUGGUCUAUAGCUUCUCUAGUUUCAUUAACAACAGGAGGGUGCGAGGUGAUAGAAGCGUUAGGAUGUCUUCAGGUUCAUCUGUCUUUGCCGUUUGUCAUUUGUCGUUGCUCCUCCUGGUCGGUUGAAACCAAGUGCAGAGUGGAUGUAUUGUGCUGUGAAGUAGUUUUGAUGUUUACGUGGGGUUGAGGGUUUUGUCACGGCCAUGUGAGAGAAUGUUCGCUUUGUAUAGUAGAGUAGCCAUAACAGCGAUGUCUUCAUCUGUUAGCUUCACGAUCUUCUGAUGGGCAAAGCCGUGGGCGUAAUGUCCAUCACGUGCUGCCGUCCUGGUUGGAGCGCGUGACCUGUUGGCCCUUCUGGGGUGCGUUUCUCGAUCUCGACAACGACAGCGUCGUCAUAGCAACUUACUUUGUUGCGAUGCAAUUUCCCAUUGGCAAGUUACAGGUUAGCAACACGAGAAAUGGCAAGAGGAAAGUAUAGCGAGCGCUCUAUAGUCUUUUCUCCAAGUUGAAGGGGUGCAUCUGGUUAUUCCUUUUACGACUUCAUAUAUUUCUGAGUUAUAUCCUAAGCACUCUCGUUUGGGUCAAGGUAGUUGCAGUAUUUAAAAACCCUUUGAAGGAUAUAUCUCAGAAGGAUAGAAGUCAGAAGGAUUUAAAUCAGUAGUCAAUGCCUUCGAGAAGUACAGUAGGCUGGAGUUUGCCUACCAAGCUGCUGUGGGAUACCAUCCAUCAUAGAGACCAAAGGUGGCAUUUAACUCUUACCUACACUCUCUUCGCCGCCCCAGCUAGCCUGCCUUAAUGCUGAGGUGUAUUCUUGGUGGCGUAUGCUUGAUGGCGUAUGCUUGGUGGCGUCUCGAGUAAUUAGUUUUGCAUUUGGCGUUGACGUUGUGUGUGCCAUCAAACUACAGCAAGGGGAGCAGCAGGCCCCGUGUGAAAACGUACGGAAGGUGAAGUGCUAAUGAUACGACCUUGUGAUAACCUUGAGGUGACAACAUGCAAAUGACCGUGUGGGUCCUCUGAUGCCUUUUAGUAACACACUGUGACAUUCAGGUAGAGCAGAGUGAGGUCACCGGAGUGGGCUCUCCUGAUUGGCCCCCGUGGCCUGCCAUGCAUCUGAAAGUGGGAUGUUCUGUCUCCGUGGAGACCACUUGGUCACGCCCCCCCUGAUACUCUAACCUUAUGCAAGUUCCCAUAACAACAGGUGAAGGUGAACUGUCCCCACAGUAAGAAUCUGCUCAGUGCAGGCAGAGUUGUGUAAAGUAAUACUCAUUAAGGUGUAAUCACAAUAUUAGUGAUAUAUGACAUGGUUUCAACUUUGUAAUAUCAUACCACUAGUGUUGUGAUUACAUUACACCUGUUACUUUUACUUUGUACAACUCUGGUUCAUUACACCUGUUACUCUCACCAUAUACAACUCUGGUUCAUUGCAUCAGGAAAACUAAUGGGGCUGUAAAUAUGUGUUUGAUACUCCCUCCCUUUGCCAGGAGGUGAUGGUGGAUUGGGCUGGUGAGUUGCCAUUGUGGACAUUUAGACACUGCAUGAUAAGAUUUGUAUUUGUAGAUCAGACAACAAGUGCCUAAGGGACACUGUCGUGUGCAACAUCAACACACCCCCCCCCACACAUACAUACGUCGCAUUAGAACACACUCCAGCUCUAAGGGCACAUCCGUUGCGACAGCACUGCGGAGCACUAUCGCUUCCGACAACUUCGGUUAGCCCUGCACACUGUCGCAGACGUGCUAUAAACAAUGAGUAGUCAUUUUCAUCACAGCAGAGCAGGAUUAACAAUGAGCUGCUCCAACGAAAUAGAGCUCUGCCGUAAUUGGCAGCCAACAUCAGCGGAAAUCCGUAGACAUCGGUGUCGGUGUGCAGGGUUGAAAUUGAAAACAGUGGAAUCGAUCGCAAAGCAUCCCUGUGACCUUGAACAACACAGAGACCAUCCAGACUGCCUGAUAGUGAGUGACCUAGUUCAUAAAGACCAGAGACAAAGUGACCUUGUAGAGAGGGAGCAGUUCAUACAGUCACCUUAUGAAUUUGUACAAAGAUGAGUCUGCUGUCUGAGUGAGAUGGGUCAAAGUUAGAGUGUUGUUGGUGUGUUUAGUGCGUUUUUGGGUUGCUAACUGUUAGCUUUUUGCUAGAUCUCCACUGGUUAGCGAGUUAUUGUGGCUCUCCACUGGUGAACGCGUUGUUGGGUUGUAACUGGUUAGCGGGUCGUUAGCGGUUUUGUUGGGUGUCUCCACUGCUUGUUAAUAUGUUGUUGGCUUGCCACGGGUUAGCUUGUUGUUGGGUUAGCUUGUUGUUGGGUUAGCGUGCUGUUUGGUUGCCACUUGUUAGUGUGUCAUUAGCAUGUUGCUAACAUGUUGUUGGGUUGGCAUGGGUUAGCGUGUUGUUCACGUGUUGUCAGGUUAGCGUGUUGUUGGGUUGCCACGGGUUAGCGUGUUGUUAGCGUGUUGUUGGGUUAGCCUGUUGUCGGGUCUCUCCACUGCCAUUAAUUGAGAUUGUUUUGUUGCCGUGAGGAGAGUAGCGUGAGCAAUAACAAGCUGCUAUGGCAGCAUCACCCAGAACGCCUGAACGACAUCCAAUACUGUAAACUGCUAUCAUCCGAUACUGUACCCCCCUCCUUUGUACUAUAGUCCUCCUGAACACAUGAUGUAAACACAAUCUAAACUGCUAUAUAUCUAGCUCUGCCUGCUGUUAGCGUAGCGUAUCGACACUAGCACACCAACCGACCGACCGCCUUCCAGCCGCCAUUCUUUUACUCCGCAUUCCGUUUCAGCUUCUGUUUCCUCCUCAUGUCCAUCUCACUAUAAUAUAACCCACUGUUUGCAAUGUAGGUCUUUAGCCGUACAAGGAUAUACUUAACUAACUUCACAUAACCCAAAGACUACAGUUUAAGAUGACAUAGAUUACAAGAUAACAUACAGUUUAUAUUACAGUACUCCAUUUAACAUUACUCUGGUGUAUGAUAUUCUAAUAUGCAGUUGUACAAUAUUAUAUAUUAUACAUAAACAUACAGUACAUACAUAUUUUACAGGCUUCAUACAAUUUAUUCAGAAACAUACCAGUGGCUAAUGGCUUAUACGAGAAGAUAUGUUGCAGAUAGAUAUCACCCAGCUGGGGUGUCCAUCACCAGGCCGCAGGCUAGCAUCAUGCAAAGGCGUACUUAUCUCACGCCGUGUUGUGGCGAGGUGCACUUACUUUGCAUGUUAAGUUGUGCUCUGCAACGCCGUGUUGUGGCAAGGUGCACUUACUUUGCAUGUUAAGUUGUGCUCUGCAACGCCACAGUAAAGCAUUUUUGUCACGUGACCAGGCUCACGCGAGGCAGGUUAGUUUUCUUGCCGUCGUCGGGAAUUUCUGUGGCCCGCGGCAAAAUUCUGUUGCUAAACAUGAAAACGCUCAGCCGUGCCCUGACUACAACCAUCCCUGACCCUAACCUGUCAGCAAAGCAACGUUUCUGCCUUUUCACGUUUGCCAAGAACAGCGCAACAAGUUAGGAGAAUGGCCAAAUUCUGCCCAGAACAAAACCACCACUAACCCUAGCCUGUCACAGGACGUUGUAGUGCACAUGUUAACACGCAAAGCUCCUAGUGUACAGUACGCACGCGACAGGCGGUUCAAGCCGGCGUGUUAUCCAAACGCUUUUGCGUGAUGCCAUGCUGCUAGCUGGGGUGUUGAUGACCUCACUGUUGUUUAUGGCGUCUUUUGUUGUUGUUGUUGUUUGUUGUUGUUGUUUGUUGUUGUCAUAGGGAUGAGUUAGUGGAUGUUUUUAGUGGACAUGACAGUCGCAGUUCACACACACACACACACACACACACACACACACACACACACACACACACACACACACACACACACACACACACACACACACACACAGAUACAAAGUUGACCCGGCUUCCUGACCCAAAAACAAUAGACCACAGUCCACUCACUCACACGUACACACUGGGCCAUAGACAUUGACCCAAAAAACAUACACAUAGACAACCCUGCAAGCUGACCCAUCAGCACACACACACACAUACCUGUACACUCUCCCAACAGCCCAAUCACGCACACACACACACACAGACACACACACACUAGUCACAUCCCCUUUGCUAAAUGUAGCCCCUCCCCUUUUAAACAAUGCUGGAAUUAAAGCCUCUUAAAUACCCUUGUCUGCGAAUUUAGAAUGUACACACUCCUUAUUGCAAACACAAAUACUGCCAACAGCAUUUCAAAAAGUUGAAAAAGAAUAAUUUUUUAAAGUAGGAAUGCUUUCCUUUCCUUAUUAAGCUACACGGGGUGCGUUUCUCGACAACAUUGUUGCUCACUAAGUUAGCAACUUACUAGGUUCCAAUGCAACUCUCCAUUGGAAAUCUAAGAAGUUGCUAACUGUGUUGCUACGAUGCUUUCGAGCAUCUUUCGGGGUCCAGAUCUUGUGUUGAGUUGAUGUGAAAAGAAACUACUAACUAGACCAAAACAAGUCACAGCUGUAGAUGUUCCCAACAUGCCCAGUCGGGGCGCGCCCUUGUCCGAUGUGGGCGUGAUCUUGUCCAGUAGGGGCGUGGCCAGCCGGAUUGUUAAUGCCCCGGAUGCCCAGCAGCUGUUGCUAUGAAAACCAGCAAUAUUCUAUGUAAUUAAAGUAGCUUUAAGUUCAGAGCACUGCAGCUUUUUCUUCUGAAUAACAGAAACACACACACACACACACACACAACCCCGACGUCACAUAUCCAAGCAAACACCACAACACACACACACACAUUCACACAAAACAUUUCGAGGUAGGACAGUUUGGUAGGAACAGAAAUUGACCAAUGAGAAAUGAACAACUGCCCCUUUAACGAAUUUAUAUUCCCUGGACCUGCCCCAUUAAUGUGCCCUUAAUACUGUAUGCCCCUAUUAUGUUAUUUAAUGUGGCCACUGCCUCCCCCAGCCCUGUGGAGGGCGCCAAUGCUGUUUCCUCUACACUCCCCAGCAGAGGAACACUCUCAGCAUUGCUAGCACCUUAGCUUUGCUAGCACCUUAGCAUUGCUAGCACCUUGUCCCCAUGGGUGAACUGAGUUCUGCACCUGUUUUUUUUUCUUCAGAUGAGGAUUUCAGAUGAUUUUGUUGUUAUUACCUGUCUUGAAUACUUCUGACACUACUUUUAUGUGUGUUUUGUACAAAAAGAGGAAAAAGUGUAACAUUAUCUCCUGGGUUCUUGCUUGCACAAUCUUGGCUCUAAUCAGCAGACCUGCCCUUACCGACAUGGCUGGCAUCUCAGUGCCUAUUGACCUUAGCAACAUGUCCUCCGCUCUCCAGAGUCUGACUUCAGCAACAUGAACACCUGUCUGUCCAGGCAUAGAUACAGUAUAUCUGUGGUGUCUGUCUGAUAUAGAAACAGUAUAUUACCAUUUCCCAAUGUCAAGUGUCCUAGCCUUGGUAGUGCAUCAAACGCCUAGUGAUUGGAUACUCCACGGAGUUCACCAAAGAGUAUGCAAUCACUGGGCAUUUCACGCACUACGAGGGCUAGAACACUUGACAUUGGGAAAUUGUAUAUCUAUGGUGUCUGCUUGCGGAUUGUAGGUCUACAUCUGUGGUGUCUGCCAGCGGACGUCUCCUGUAAGACGCAGCUGGAUGACCUUUGACCUUUCGCCAAAUGGGCUGCCAGGCCUGCUGGCUCCUGUCCUGCUGAUGGCCAUGCCAUUAGUCCUGUGUAGCCCUCAGACACCAGUGCAGAUACACACGCUUUGGCGGCGCAGGUCAAUGCAGAUGCUACAGGGAACCAACACAAGUCACAGAGAGUGUGUGGCAGUGGCAGUGUGUGUGUGUGGAGCGUUGGGCGUGUGUGUGUGUGAGGUCGUCAUUGCGAGCACAUCUGCCGUGUUGUCCUGUCGGUCGUUGUCACCUGCGUGGUCACCUGACCUGCUAGACUGGUCACCUGGCGUGCCAUUGGCUGUCUCUGGUGUCAGUCAGCGAGCCUAAUCAAGCUCAUUUGCUAUAGGAGAACCCUAAUCAAGCCGAUUGGCUAUUGUGCAGACAUUAGAUCUUGGGCUGCAAGUCACUGGCCGCGUUUGUGACUGCUUAUUUCUGUGUGGUCUAUGCAGCAUGCAUGCGCAUUGCGAAAUUACGAUGCAUUCUGGUUAAUGCAUUGAAAUGGCGAAGUGCACAUGUGCGCUGCGCACACUGCAUAGAUAUGCUGCUAGUCAGACUAGUGGCUUGCAGCCUCAACACUGCAAAACAUUGCAAGCCAGUUCAACUUAAAAAAGUAAGUUGCCCUGCUGCCUCAAGUUUGUAUGUUAACUAAACUCUGGGCUUUCUCAAGUUGAGUUAACUUACAAACUUAAGACCGCAGGGCAACUUACUUUUUUAAGUUUAACUGGCUGUAAUGGUUUCCAGUGAAUGCCAAGCGUGGACUCUGUAGAUGACCCUCUUCUCUAUACUCACUGUCUUUUCAAACAGUUCCUUUUUUUGCGUGACCAAAAGUAACAAACUUGACUUGAUUUAUUUAUAUUUUACACAAAGGUAUAGCCCAAAUGGUGAACACAAACACAUUUUACACUGUAGAAGACAGGUAGUGUGCUAUUUUGGGUUUUCUGCCCACUUACGCACAUUUUCCGAAAGCCAGUUUUUCAUUGAAAAAAAGAAAGAUUUUUUUAAAAGUCACGAUGCCUUGUAGAUCUUCAAAAAGCACCCCCUUGCAAAAAUACUUCCAAACCACUGUCUAGUGAAAAGGCCUCCCUCCAACCACUACAAGUAAAAAAAAAAACUAAACAAAACAAAACAACUUAAUGCAAAAACACUUUAAAGAACAACCUGGUGUUGCAACAAUGUAUCCAAAUCAAAUACAGAAAUUGACAAAAAAAUCAUUUUAAAGCAAAAACUUACCACUUUCUCGACCUGGACAAGAGAUUUUGCACUAAAAGAAAGGACCCCCACCCUUGGCUGCGGGUGCGAGCGGGCUCCUCUUCCUUCUACAGAGAUAGCAAUACGCCAACCAAGAGAUACAUUGGAACUCCACCGCGCCGCGCGCUCGCCAAGCAACCACAUUCUAGAAUAUGACAGAGUUGCAUCCGCAGUGCACUGACCAUGCUCUUCGAUGUGUGUUCCUUAAGUUUUGUGUGAAGGAAUCGGAUUCUCCGAGGAGGAGUUUUCUUUGUCUGUUUGCUUGUUUUGUUUGUUUGUUUGUUUGUUUUUGUUUUGUAUUUAUUGCUAUGUGCUGAUCCUGGCCAUCUGAGUGGAAUAGAAGUAAACAUCAGUCUUUUCCUUGUCUAAGAAUGUGUGGUUUGUCGUUCAUUUCUUUUCUUUCCUUUUUUCGUUGUUGUGUAAUAUCACUCGCCUUACGUGAGAACCUUUUCCUUCACUUGAUGUCCAUAUAGAGAUGAGAUGAACCCCUGACUUCUCCAAUCUCACACACACACACACACACACACACACACACACACACACACACACACACACACACACACACACACACACACACACACACAUGAGCCCCUGACAUCUCCAGUCACACACACACACUCACACACGAACUCCUGAGGUCUCCAGAACUAUGUCCAGCAUCCCUUUCCCCACUCUUCACACACACACACACACACACACACACACACACACACACACACACACACACACACACAUGCACAUGUACACACACUCGCCCAUGUGGUGUGUUGCCAUGCUGAUGAGGUGUGUAACUAGUCGACUCGCUCAUGAAGUAGCUAGAGUGUAGUGAGAGGCUCCACUCCCCGCCGCGCUAAGCGGCUAAGUGGCUAAGCAGCUCCUAGCAGCUGGAUGUCACCUCUGAACUCUGACCUUUGAUCCCUCCUGGUCCAGACCUUCCCCCUAGGGCCAGUGGGAGUGGCCACCAGCCAGCACGCCACUCCCUCAUUGGCCAAGAGGAUGUGUAUCCCCCAGGGGGGGCGGGACUUCCCAUACUGUAUGUACAUACGUAGGCUUCCCAUUUACAAACAUUCGUGCUGUGAGAAGGGGCAAGAUGCCAAGCAGCCAACCACGUGCUGACAUUUUUUGAGUGACAGCAGUUUCCAACUAUCCGAGGUCGAAGAGUGCGCAGCCAGGGAUUGUUUAAAAACGGGAAGCAUAAAGUAUAGUAGGGUACAGUAUAUCUGCACCUGUCCUGCACCUGCAGUACACCCCCUAGUGGUCACCUGUGUGAGUGCACAGCCGAGUAGACUGGAAAUCCAGUGUACUGUAGAGGAUGCACUCCUACUCUUUUCAGGCCGACAGGAACGCUUUUCCACACGCGACUGUGUGUUAACCAGAUGAACCUGCUGACGCCCACGUUAUUGCCACGUUAAUGGAGAAAACCCAAGUCAUUUCUGGUUCGCAUUCAUUGCGACCCAACUUUCCAGUUCUCGAACGCUGGAGAUUAGGUGUGGUAACGGGCACGGGCACGGUUCUCCGUCGGCCUGAACGCACCUUCAGUCACGCUGUGUCCUCAGCCGGAAGAGCUGGGCGGCAGGAGAGGAGGAGGCGGCAGGAGAGGAGGAGGCGGUAGGAGAGGAGGAGGUGGGGGAGACAGGCAGGUCUCUGUAGACAUCACUCUGGCGGCAGGAGUCUCUAGUGUCCUGGGGGAGGAGAGACAUGGAGGAGAUGGGAGAGAUACUCUGGCUGCAGGAGUCUAGUAUCUGUAGACAUCACUGCAGUAGUCUCUAGUGUCCUGGGAAAGGAGAGGCAUGGCCUUGCUGCAGGAGUCUGUAGUGUCCUGGGGGAGAGACAUGGAGGAGAUGGGAGAGACAUGGAGGAGAGACAUGGAGGAGAUGGGAGAGACAAGGCCACUCUGGCUGCAGGAGUCUAGUAGCCUCUCUGUAGACAUCACUGCAGUAGUCUCUAGUGUCCGGGGGGAGAGACAUGUCCACUCUAGCUGCAGAUGGGAGAGACAUGUCCACUCUAGUUGCAGGUGAUGGGCCACUCAUGUCCACUCUAGCUGCAGGAGAUGGGAGAGACAUGUCCACUCUAGUUGCAGGUGAUGGGAGAGACAUGUCCACUCUAGCUGCAGGUGAUGGGCCACUCAUGUCCACUCUGGCUGCAGGUGAUGGGAGAGACAUGUCCACUCUGGCUGCAGGAGAUGGGGGAGACAUGUCCACUCUGGCUGCAGGUGAUGGGAGAGACAUGUCCACUCUGGCUGCAGGAGAUGGGAGCGUCUCAGUAGCGUAGCCUGAAUAGAGUCGCAGAUUAUGUGCAGUUUUAUUUAAACAGUUUUAUUUCUAAACAUUUAGUUUGAUUUUGAUUAUGAGGGGAAAAACUAGCGACAUUCUUUCACGUGUUUCAGUUCGUAUACCUUUGGCACUUUUAGUUGAUGUGAUGGUGUGUGUAUGUGCGUGUGUGUGUGUGUGUGUGUGUGUUAUAUAUUUGUAUCGAGGGAUUUGUUUGUUUUUUUGUUUGUUGUUGUUUUGUUUUUUUUCUUCCUUACGCCGUUCUUUUCAAAACGAAACAAAAAAAAAAAAUUCUAGAAGACGUAAUAAAAUAAAAGUACGUUUCUCUUGCCAGCUAGCGUGCUGUGACUCGUUACACAUAGGGAACCAUGUUAAUGUGCCUUCUCUUCUCUUCUCUUCUUCUCUUCUUCUCCUCUCUUCUCUUCUUCUUAUUCUCUUUGUACGUCUUGGUGAAGCUGUUGUAGUGAAGAUGAAGCUAGCAUACAGUAUAUAUAUGUAAACCUAAUCAUGAUACCAUGAGACAAAAACAAAAACAAAACAAUUGGAAACCAGCUUAAGGUUGUUGUUCUUUGCACUAUAUAACCCAUUGCUUUGACCUUGUCCUUUAUUUUGUAUCGUGAUGUGUAUUUAUAAACGGAAACUAAUAAAUGAAUCAAAUUGAAGUAUA